rnacentral:rRNA from 1 species
UACGGAGGGUGCGAGCGUUGUUCGGAAUCACUGGGCGUAAAGCGCGUGUAGGCGGCCCAUUAAGUCUGAUGUGAAAGCCCGGGGCUCACCCCCGGAAGUGCAUUGGAAACUGAUGGACUCGAGUCCCGGAGAGGAGAGUGGAAUUCCUGGUGUAGCGGUGAAAUGCGUAGAGAUCGGGAGGAACACCCGUGGCGAAGGCGGCCAUCUGGACCAGCACUGACGCUGAGGCACGAAAGCGUGGGGAGCAAACAGG